UAUCGUUUUUUAUUAUUAUACACAAAACCAUCUUUUUUUGAAAUUUGUAUUAAAAUAUUCAAUCUUUAUUUCUUAUAAAAUUAACCGUUUAUCAAAUUUUUGAAAAUGUCUUAUAUGUUGCAACAUUUAUAUUCAGGGUGGGCAGUGGAUCAAGCCAUCACAUCUGAACAAGAAAGAGUUGUUUGCAUUCGUUUCGGUUAUGAUUAUGAUCCGGAUUGCAUGAAAAUGGAUGAAUUAUUGUACAAAAUAGCAGAUGACGUGAAGAAUUUUUGUGUGAUUUACUUGGUAGAUAUUACAGAAGUACCAGAUUUCAACACAAUGUAUGAAUUGUACGACUCUGUAACGACCAUGUUUUUCUAUAGAAAUAAACAUAUGAUGAUCGAUUUAGGAACGGGUAAUAACAAUAAGAUUAAUUGGCCUAUGAGUAAUAAGCGGGAGUUAAUAGAUAUUAUAGAAACUAUUUUUCGAGGUGCUCGUAAAGGUCGUGGUCUGGUUAUAUCACCUAAGGAUUAUUCCACUAAAUAUAAAUAUUAAAUUCUAAAUCAAACGAUUGACGAUGUUCAGUUUUUGUAGAUUUUGGUCGAAUUAUUUACAAUGAAUUGGUAACCUGGGAACAAAAUUGAGAUAUGGAAGACAUUUCAUACCAGUAUUGCGUUACGCGUGUUCAAGUCAUCCACACGCCGAUAAGUGAUGCACCUGGACUCGCGUUCCGCGUGUUCGAGUUAUACAUACAAAGGUCUGUGUUAGACUACAACUGGCUUUUUUCUUUAAACCAUGUAAUCACCCAACAAUUUUUUCGCAUCAUCCAAUUUUAAUGAAUUAUUCGUUGUUUCAAAAGAAGUUGUAUAGUUUUUUUACAACUCUUUUUAACAUAAAAAGAAAAUUGUAUUGCAGUCAAACGAGUGCACUACUAGUGGUAACCUACUUUAAAAUCUUGGAAAACUUCUGAGUUAUAGUUAUGGACUAAUAUUUUUGAGAUAACCAAAAAAAAUAAACACCAAAAAAAUUAGCGGUUUGUCUAGUGAAGAAAAAAGAGAAUUGGUGCGGUAAAGAAACUUGCAAUUUGAUUCCUAAAUCACUUAACUUUUUGUGAAAGCAUUUUUAUUAGCUUUGCUAUGAAAUCAUUUCAAAUACAAUGUCUUUCAUUGAAAAAAAUUCUGAAUAAGACUUUUACUAGUAUCAAGUGUUUAAAUGUAUAAAACUUUUUUUUUUAUGACGCCGACAUGGGGCAAAAAUAAAAACAGGUAGGAUUGUCUUUUUUUAAAAAAUAUCGUUUCAUCUUCCUAUAUAACUUUAUACUAAUGUCAACGGGAGGUUUUAAAAUUUUAAAAUAAACCUUUUAAAAAAAAAAAUUGCAACUGAUAACUAGGAUUAUA